AAGCCGACAGCGACAUUUCCGUUCAUGUUCGUAUUCGUGUUCACGUUCAUUCACGUUCACGUUCAUUCCCGUUCACGUAUCUUGUAGAUAUAGGUGUGGCUAGUGUGUGUGGUUAAGCAUAGAUAAUAGAGUAAAGGAGUAAAGUAAAGGGUUAAGGUUGGGUUAUUUAAAUUAUUAUAAUGGCUGAUUUCCGUGACAUCAUUUUGGAAUUGAAAAGACUUGGCUGUAAUACUCAAGAAAUAAGGACCCUUCUUUCCCCUGUUAAAGAAAUCAGCCUACGACAAGUUCAAAGAAUUAUACAUAUACAAAGAUGCCGUGGCUCUGGGAGAACAAGGGACUCCUUGGAAGAUAUCAAGGCCGCCAUUGAGGAGGAGUUAAAAGGACCUGGUAGCUUGUUAGGAUAUCGAAGCCUAUGGCAUCGAUUGAAAGGAAAAUAUAAUUUUUCAGUUACAAGG